rnacentral:rRNA from 1 species
UACGUAGGGUGCAAGCGUUGUCCGGAAUCAUUGGGCGUAAAGCGCGCGUAGGUGGCUUCGUAAGUCCGUUGUGAAAGUCAAAGGCUCAACCUUUGAAAGCCGAUGGAUACUGCGGAGCUAGAGUACGGAAGAGGCGAGUGGAAUUCCUGGUGUAGCGGUGGAAUGCGCAGAUAUCAGGAGGAACACCAAUAGCGAAGGCAGCUCGCUGGGACGUUACUGACACUAAGGCGCGAAAUCGUGGGGAGCAAACAGG